UAGGGAAUAUUGCUUAAUGGGCGAAAGCCUGAAGCAGCAACGCCGCGUGUGCGAUGAAGGCCUUCGGGUUGUAAAGCACUUUUUGGAGGGAUGAGGAAGGACAGUACCUUCAGAAUAAGCCUCGGCUAACUACGUGCCAGCAGCCGCGGUAAAACGUAGGAGGCGAGCGUUAUCCGGAUUUACUGGGCGUAAAGCGCGUGUAGGCGGCUCGACAAGUUGGAUGUGAAAGCUCCUGGCUUAACUGGGAGAGGUCGUUCAAAACUGUCGGGCUAGAGUAUGAGAGAGGGAGGUGGAAUUCCGGGUGUAGUGGUGAAAUGCGUAGAUAUCCGGAGGAACACCAGUGGCGAAAGCGGCCUCCGUGGCUCAAACUGACGCUCAGACGCGAAAGCUAGGGUAGCAAAC
rnacentral:rRNA from 1 species